rnacentral:rRNA from 1 species
UCGCAUCUGUGCAUGCAGCAUAUCAAUAAGCGGAGGAAAAGAAACUGAACAAGGAUUCCCCUAGUAACGGCGAGUGAAGCGGGAAGAGCUCAAAUUUGAAAUCUUAAAGGGUUUUCCCUUUACGAAUUGUAGUUUAAAGAAGUGUUUUUCUGUUGAGGUUUUGGUAAAAGUUCUUUGGAAUAGGACAUCAUAGAGGGUGAGAAUCCCGUAUUUGACCUUUACUUUCAACUUUGUGAUACACUUUCAAAGAGUCGGAUUGUUUGGGAAUGCAGUCCAAAAUGGGUGGUAAAUUUCAUCUAAAGCUAAAUAUUGGCGAGAGACCGAUAGCGAACAAGUACCGUGAGGGAAAGAUGAAAAGAACUUUGAAAAGAGAGUUAAACAGUACGUGAAAUUGUCAGAAAGGGAAGCGUUUGACACCAGUGUUGUUUUUUCUGAAAAUCAAUUAAAGAACUGUUUUAUGCUAAGCUGUUUAGACUUUAUCAGCUAUCUGUUUAGUUUUGAGCUUUUCUUUAAUGCACUUUUCAGUUAACAAAGUCAACAUCAAUUUCUUUUGCUGUAAAAAAGCUUGAGGAAGGUGGCUUGAGAUUCGUCUUAAGUGUUUAUAGCCUCUUGCCUAUGCAGUCGGAGAGAUUGAGGUCUGCAGCGUAGAUCCUUCGGGGCUAAAUGCAUUUGUGCUAAGUUAUAGCAUUUUAUAGACAACUUGUUGACUAUGAUUUGUCUUGUAGCUUACUCGCUUAUGUUAUUUUACCUACGCUUAGGAUGUUGAGUCGUAGAGCACGCAG